CUUAUCUCUUCUUGCUAUUCUUUGGAACUCUGCAUUUAGAUGUUUAUAUCUUUCCUUUUCUCCUUUGCUUUUUGCUUCUCUUCUUUUCACAGCUAUUUGUAAGGCCUCCCCAGAUAACUGGAGAAAGAGAAACCUAAUUCAGUUCUCUGGAAGAAGAGAGACUCUAGCUAACUACAUGCAGGGUUAAUGCAGAUGGUGGCUCUGAUGGGGGAAGGCGGGGUGGCCGCAGAAGUCCUCUAGUCUGGAGAAAGGAACAGUGACAGGUGAAUGGCUUCAAAUGGCUCAUUAACUAUGGAAAAAUGGCCUUGUGCCAUGGAACCAGGACCUCUGGGUAGAUAGAGACAGGCUUUCAAUUUCAGAAAAGCUUCCUGAUAAUUUGAGCUGUCUAUAGAUGGAGUGACUGGUGCAGGCAGUGCAGGUGAAUGAGCAGAGGCCGGAAGGUCACGUAUUUGGGGGAUUUACCAGGAAGAUUCCAAUGGCCCAUUCCAGGGUAGACCAGAUGGCCUUUAAGGCCACAGUCAUCCCUGGGAUCUAUUUGACAGUCUUAGAAUUCAGGGAGCAACUUCUCUGCCAACUCCUAUAGCCACCCUGCUUCUAGAGAUGCAAUGGUGUCAGGCUUUCAGACUGUUGUUAGCUGGUGAAUUACACCCCAGCACCAGUGACAACCAGCGGCCUGCCAGUUUGGCCACAAAGGUGCUAAAUGUCCAGGCUCUGAGCCUCUGGUCUCCUGGGAAAUUCUUAUAGCAUAUUUAUAAAUUGACAGCUCAGUGGUGAGCUUUUCCAGGCUGCAGCUGCUAGGAAGGGGUAGGAUGAGUGGUUUGAAACCCACCAUAAGCUGGGCAGGAAAUUCCUCAAGACACAGGUCAACAUGAAGCAACAUAAGAUCUAACUGCUCCGGCACCUGUCAUGCCUCCGCCCUCUCUCCCAGGACCCAGCGGCCCAGGGCUCCAGCGAAGCACCUCCUCCAUUGCCCUUCCUUCUGCAGUCCCCUCUCCAGCCCAGGCAAGCUGAUGCCUGCCCCCUGGAAUGCCCGGCUGUGCCCAGCCCACAGCACCAUCAUUGGGUGUCUCUGCCACACAGUCUCAUUUUCCCUUGAAUGUGCUUUAUACCCCUUUCUAAGAAAGGGUGUUUUUUUUACUUAUUUUAAUAAGUGCUCAAUAGAUAAACAAACUGCUCCACUAUACAGAGGGAUGUUUUUAAGUAACAUAAAAAGAAAUGAACUAUCAAGCUAUGAAAAGACAGGAAGGAAACUUAAAUGCAUAGUACUAAAUGAAAGAAGUCAGUCUGAAGAGGCUACAUACCAUGUGUUUCCAUGACAUGCUGGAAAAGAUAAAAUUACGGGGACAGCAAAAAAAAAAAUAAUAAUAAUAGUUGUAGGGGAGAAGGGAGAAUAAUGAGGGGGACACAGGAUUUUUAGGGCAGUGAAACUGCUAUUCUGUAUGCUACUGUUUAAGAGUGGGUAACGUUAUUAUACAACUGUAAAAGUCCAUAGGAUGUGCCACACCAAGAGUGAACCCUAAUGCAAAGUAUGGGCUUUAGUUUAAUAAUAAUGCACCAAUACUGGCUUGUCAAUUGUGACAAAUGCACUGCACUAACUAAGAUGUGAAAAAGGCGGGAAGUUGGGGACGGUGGUAGAGAGGAUCUGGCAAUUCUCUCUAAUCUUUGCUCAAAUUUUCUUGUAACCCUAAAACUGCUGUGUUACAGGAAGUACAAAAAGGGAUGAUGUGAUCUAGAAAAAUCCAUUAUCUCACUCAGAAAAACAUUUUUACUACCAAGCUUCCUAUUUCCCAUAGUUCCUCAAGACAGAGGAGGUACAGAAGUUCUUUGUCCUGAUCCUGCAGCUUUUCUGUAACUUUGAGGCCAUUUUACCUUAAAAUGUUGAAACAAUUAGAGGAUGGGGCUGCCGGCUCCAGUGAAGAUUAGAAUAUUCUGCUUCCUGCCCUGAGAGCAUCAGACAGUCCACACAUGCACCCUGUCAGAAACAGCUGGAUAACUAGAUGAAAUGCUCAAAAGGCCUUGGAAAGCAGGCAUCACAGGAGAAGAGGGAGGAAAUGAGGUAAAAUCCAAACUGGCACAAAGAAGGGAAACCCACGCAGAGCCCAGGAAUCUCACUGAGUUAAAGAGUCAGAGAUGGAAAUCUGCAGAGGUCAAGACAACCAGAACUGACAGGACAGAGCAAGCAGGCAGAGGGAAAGCAGAUGAGGAGCUCUGCGUGGGGUCCCCCGAGUCUUUGGCUAAAUAUGAAUUGUACACACAUGGGGGGACAUGCCAUGAGGGAGAUGAAAACACUUCCAGGGAAGGAACAAUUGCUGCAGAGCCAAACAGUUCCCCAAACUCAGAAACAUCAGGAACUGCAUUUUAUUCCCAUCAGCCAAAGUGAAGAGAUUUCACUGAAUGCAUACGGUGUUGGGUAGAGUCCAGACAUACCACGCCUUAAAAGUGGGUUGAAUUGGCCAAAGAGGAAAGGCUAGACCCACCUUGAAAGAGCUUAAAAACAAGUCUUAAAAGAUCAAAGUGAUCUGUAAACUACUAAUAACUGCUUCCCAUAAAAAUUCCAACACUCUUUAUUAGGUCUUCUUUAAAGCCCCUUUUAGUUUUGAAAGUCGAUGAUUUUUCACAUUAACCAGCUAAUCUUUUUGAAUUUUAGCCUUAUUGAAGUAUAGUUGACAUAUAUAAGUGGUAGGUUACAGUCCAUGGGGUCACAAGAGUCGGACACGACUGAGCGACUUCACUGACAUAUAUAAAGUGUACACUGUGGUGAUUUGAUAUAUGUAUACAUUGUGAAAGCAUUCCCCAUCUAGUUAAUUAACACAUCCAUCACCUCACAUAAUUAUCUUUUUUUCUGUCUUUUUUGGUUAAAGCUCUACUCUCCUAGCAAAUUUCCUGUAGCUGUGUAGGGACACGGUAAUUCUCCAUUGCCACCACUGGGUGGCACUUGCACUUUUACAAUUGCCUGCCAGGCAGGCAUUGACUUGGCUGUAUGGAGCACAAAAAACUGGGGAAUUCUCAAAGAGAAGGGAAUACCAGACCACCUGACCUGCCUCUUGAGAAAUCUGUAUGCAGGUCAGGAAGCAAUAGUUAGA